GGGUAACCGAAGAUCGUAAAUGGAAACACUAUUUUCAAGUUCCAUCAAAAAUAAUAUCACGGUGAAAUAGACUGUGGUGUUUGUUUAUAUUUUAUCUACUCAGUAGGUAUUCUUUGUCACAAACCAAGUAGGUACUUCCCAUUUGCCAAUAUUAUAUAUUUUAUUUACAAAAUUAUAAUUUAUUAAUACCACUAAAUAAGAGUUGCAGUUGCAGCGAACAAAAGCAGAAAAAUUAAAAGGUACAAUGACAGACAUAGAGGAGAAAGUUAUAAUGACACCAAAAUGUAAAACAGCGAAUUCCACAACCUUGGUGGUGGAGAGAAAGGCUGUGGAACCAGAGGCAAGUGACAAGAUACAUGUUGCUGGUGGUGAUCACACUGGUAUAAUAAUUAACAA